rnacentral:rRNA from 1 species
AUGCAUGAUCAGGUCGGCCUCGACCUGGAUGGCUUCCCGCUCGAUCACGAGUUUCCGAAGGACUACGGACAAGAGGGAGAGGAUGACUUGGACAUCGAAGGGGAGCCUUUGUUCAAGGACGAGCUUGCCAACCAAGCCGUCGGGGCGAAGCCGAACCGCAAGAGCAAGCGGACGAAGCCAUACACGGCGGUCGAGGACAAGCUCCUUUCUAAGUGUUGGAGGGACAUUGGGCAAGACCCCAAGGUCGGCGCCGAACAAAAGGCAUCAACCUUUUGGAUUUGUGUCCACCAUGAGUUAAAUGAGCGCAAGAAGUUUCCGCCGUACCAAAUGCAAAGCAUGUACGGGUGGGUGUCUAUUUCGAAGCGAUGGAGGGUGAUCCAACAAGAAUGCAACAAGUUUUGUGACACUAUUGAGAGCAUCAAGGCACGCCCCGUGAGCGGCAUCGGCAUGCAAGACAUGGUAUGCUAG